GACCAACUGAGAGACAAGAAACUGAUUCAUCAUUAAGCACGUGUCCUUCAGUUCAGAGUGAAACGUAACUCAACCGUAGAGCAUUGAGAAGCCGGUGUUUCUGAGACUACAAGAAGGUCCACUAUACAGUAAGUUCCAUCACAACUCAUCCAGCUUGGCCGUUCAAUAUCUAAAGAAUGAGAAAAAGGACCAGGAAGAAGUCAUAAUGGUUCUAUGGUGUCUCUAUGUCAUCCUGCUCCUCCCCCUACUAACCUGCUCCAGCCAACCACAGUCCUGUCUGCAGUGUGUCAAUGACUUCAUCAGUAACAUCACGUGUGUGUUGAACAACACAUGCAUACCCCCAGACAUACCGUGCACUCUGCAUGGUGAAUACCCCGGGUUUAAAAGGCAAUGUGAGAUGAAGUCCUUGGCUGGUUUCAACACAACCUUGAGAGGCGGCAGUCUGGUCUUUGAGGGCAAUCCA